GACGAACGCUGGCGGCGUGCUUAACACAUGCAAGUCGAACGGAAAGGCCCUGCUUUUGUGGGGUGCUCGAGUGGCGAACGGGUGAGUAACACGUGAGUAACCUGCCCUUGACUUUGGGAUAACUUCAGGAAACUGGGGCUAAUACCGGAUAGGAGCUCCUGCUGCAUGGUGGGGGUUGGAAAGUUUCGGCGGUUGGGGAUGGACUCGCGGCUUAUCAGCUUGUUGGUGGGGUAGUGGCUUACCAAGGCUUUGACGGGUAGCCGGCCUGAGAGGGUGACCGGCCACAUUGGGACUGAGAUACGGCCCAGACUCCUACGGGAGGCAGCAGUGGGGAAUAUUGCACAAUGGGCGGAAGCCUGAUGCAGCAACGCUGCGUGCGGGAGGACGGCCUUCGGGUUGUAAACCGCUUUCGCCUGUGACGAAGCGUGAGUGACGGUAAUGGGUAAAGAAGCACCGGCUAACUACGU
rnacentral:rRNA from 1 species